UACGGAGGGAGCUAGCGUUGUUCGGAAUUACUGGGCGUAAAGCGUGCGUAGGCGGCUAUUCAAGUCAGAGGUGAAAGCCUGGAGCUCAACUCCAGAACUGCCUUUGAAACUAGAUAGCUAGAAUGUCGGAGAGGUGAGUGGAAUUCCGAGUGUAGAGGUGAAAUUCGUAGAUAUUCGGAAGAACACCAGUGGCGAAGGCGGCUCACUGGUCCAUUACUGACGCUGAGGUGCGAAAGCGUGGGGAGCAAACAGG
rnacentral:rRNA from 1 species